AGUGAACGUUGGCGGCGUGGAUUAGGCAUGCAAGUCGAGCGAGAACCGUAGCAAUACUGGGACAGCGGCGAAAGGGACAGUAAUGGGUAGGUACCUACCCCCGGGUUCGGGAUAGCUGCGGGAAACUGCAGGUAAUACCGAAAAAUGUCUCCGGACCAAAGGUGUGAUUCCACCUGGGGAGGGGCCUGCAUCCUAUUAGCUUGUUGGUGGGGUAACGGCCUACCAAGGCGGCGAUGGGUAGCGGGUGUGAGAGCAUGACCCGCGUCAUUGGGACUGAGACACUGCCCAGACACCUACGGGUGGCUGCAGUCGAGAAUCUUCGGCAAUGGGCGCAAGCCUGACCGAGCGACGCCGCGUGCGGGAUGAAGGCCUUCGGGUUGUAAACCGCUGUCGUAGAGGAGGAAAUGCAGGAGGGUUCUCCCUCCUGUUUGACCUAUUCUAGGAGGAAGUACGGGCUAAGUUCGUGCCAGCCGCCGCCGUAA
rnacentral:rRNA from 1 species